rnacentral:lncRNA from 1 species
AGUACAACAGAAACUGAAAACUCUUCCAGGAAAAACAGAAACAGGAAACUUAUCUGUUCAUUUUGUGCCCGUGCACUUUCCACGUUCAGAAUUUAAACCAAUCAAAGAAAGAAAUACCGUUUACAAGCUUUACACUUGUCACGCCUAUAAAAAACAUUACCAUCAAAACCACAGCGUUUAUUUACGUAUAAGAUAAAUUACUCUCAUUUAAUUUCUUAGGAUCUAAUCAUGAAGUAUACUACCA